CCUACGGGUGGCAGCAGUGAGGAAUAUUGGUCAAUGGUCGGGAGACUGAACCAGCCAAGCCGCGUGAGGGACGAAGGUACCAAGUAUCGUAAACUUCUUUUGUCAGGGAACAAAGUCGGGCACGUGUACCUGUAUGAGUGUACUUGAAGAAAAAGCAUCGGCUAACUCCGUGCCAUCAGCCGCGGUAAUACGGAGGAUGCGAGCGUUAUCCGGAUUUAUUGGGUUUAAAGGGUGCGUAGGGGGGCUGUUAAGUCAGGGGUCAAAGGCCCGGGCUCAACCCCAGGCGUGCAGUUGAAAUUGGCAGUCUCGAGUUGGAGAGAGGUAUGCGGAAUGCGCGGUGUAGCGGUGAAAUGCUUAGAUAUCGCGCAGAACUCCGAUUGCGAAGGCAGCAUGCCGGCUCCACACUGACGCUGAGGCACGAAAGCGUGGGUAUCGAACAGGAUUAGAUACCCGUGUAGUC
rnacentral:rRNA from 1 species